UGUGAGAGCUGGCUUGCCUGCGAUGGCGUCCGGCCAGUCACGCCUCUGCUGGCUGACCCACCGCUAUCGCAGGCAAGCCAGCUCCCACA
rnacentral:misc_RNA from 1 species